rnacentral:lncRNA from 1 species
UUUAAAAUAAUAAUCAGAAAAUAAAAUAAAAUAGAAAAAACAAGGGUCAUCAAAUCUCUCUUAUUAAUUGAGGUGGAAGAUCUAAAUGCCACAUGCGUGCAAUCUGUGGUGCACCUUGGUUAAUGUCCAGCAAAUGUGGCAAUCAACAUCAAAGGCCAAUAUUAGAAGCCAUGGACCAGAUCAGAUUGUCUCGAUCUCUCAA